UACAGGGGGGGCAAGCGUUGUUCGGAAUUACUGGGCGUAAAGGGCUCGUAGGCGGCCAACUAAGUCGAACGUGAAAUCCCCGAGCUCAACUCGGGAACUGCGUCCGAUACUGGUGGGCUUGAAUCCGGGAGAGGGAUGCGGAAUUCCAGGUGUAGCGGUGAAAUGCGUAGAUAUCUGGAGGAACACCGGUGGCGAAGGCGGCAUCCUGGACCGGCAUUGACGCUGAGGCGCGAAAGCUAGGGGAGCAAACGGG
rnacentral:rRNA from 1 species